rnacentral:rRNA from 1 species
UAAAAAUGUAAUUUUAAACACUAAAGUAGUAGUAGUUAUGUUCUUGAAACUUAAAAAAUUUGGCGGUAUUUUAGUCUAUUCAGAGGAACCUGUUCUAUAAUUGAUAAUCCACGAUGUACCUUACUUAAAUUUGUAAUUCAGUUUAUAUACCGUCGUUAUUAGAAUAUUUUAAUAGAAUAAUAAUCUUCAAUAAUUUAAAUUUAAAUUUAUAUCAGAUCAAGGUGUAGCUAAUAUUUAAGUAGAAAUGGGUUACAAUAAAUUUAUUUAAAUGGAUUUAAUUUUGAAAUGAUUAAUAAAAGUGGAUUUGGUAGUAAAAUUUUAAAGAUAAAAAAUUUGACUAUAGCUCUAAAAUAUGU